UGGGGGAGUAUUGCACAAUGGGGGAAACCCGUGAUGCAGCGACGCCGCGUGGGUGAAGAAGCGCCUCGGCGCGUAAAGCCCUGUCAGCAGGGAAGAAAAUGACGGUACCUGAAGAAGAAGCCCCGGCUAACUACGUGCCAGCAGCCGCUGUAAUAUCGCUCU
rnacentral:rRNA from 1 species